AGUGAACGCUGGCGGUAGGCCUAACACAUGCAAGUCGAACGGCAGCACAGUAAGAGCUUGCUCUUACGGGUGGCGAGUGGCGGACGGGCGAGGAAUACAUCGGAAUCUACUUUUUCGUGGGGGAUAACGUAGGGAAACUUACGCUAAUACCGCAUACGACCUACGGGUGAAAGCAGGGGAUCUUCGGACCUUGCGCGAUUGAAUGAGCCGAUGUCGGAUUAGCUAGUUGGCGGGGUAAAGGCCCACCAGGGCGACGAUCCGUAGCUGGUCUGAGAGGAUGAUCAGCCACACUGGAACUGAGACACGGUCCAGACUCCUACGGGAGGCAGCAGUGGGGAAUAUUGGACAAUGGGCGCAAGCCUGAUCCAGCCAUACCGCGUGGGUGAAGAAGGCCUUCGGGUUGUAAAGCCCUUUUGUUGGGAAAGAAAAGCAGCAGGUUAAUACCCCGCUGUUCUGACGGUACCCAAAGAAUAAGCACCGGCUAACUUCGUG
rnacentral:rRNA from 1 species